CAGAUCCUACUACAGCAGCAGAGACUAUCACCGGAAAUGCACAUUGACGUUCCUGAAAACUGCUUUGACACAUCUUUCCUAAACAUUUAAAUGGAGGAAGUAGAAUUACAAUCAGAGGGAAGGCUCUGGAAUGAGAACAAUCAGAACAGAUUGGAGUGAUGUGGGCAAUAAGGCACGGAAUACCAACAGCCUCUAGAAGCCGGAAGAAGCAGGAACAGAUUCUGCCUUGGAGUCUCCAGAUGGAACCAGCCUUGCUAACACCCUGAUGUUAGCCUGGUUGACAGAUCCUUCUGAGGGAACAGAAACAACGUAUCAUCCCACACAAUUCUGGGGUUACCUUCUCAUUUUGCUGAAGUUACCUCUAAAGAAGAGAAGAUCAUAGCUGACGUGUGACUGGGCUCCUGUCUAUGUGCAGAUGAUGGAAGUGGCCAUGCUGGAAGGCACGAAGAUGUCCAGAAGAAGAGACAGACAGAACACCUUGCAUUCAAGGAACUCUGAGAGACCACUCAUGAUAUUGAAGAUAGACAAAAUGAAUGAAGGAGGACAAUUUGGAGAAGCACUGUUUUCAGCAAUAAUCUUACAUAUGAGGUAAGGCUCAAAGUUGCCAAAAUGGAAUCUGGAAAUAGAGAUCCAUCAGCCUUAUGUCUAAAGUAAAUCAUAAUUGUUCUGAAAAUGAUUAACGCUGGGUGACAGCCAAUAUUCCUUUGAUAAAAUAGUACUUAGUCUGAUUCUACAAUUGAGCAGACAGGAAAUGGCUCACCUUUUGGUAAUGAAUUAACUCUUUCCUAUAGGGCUUCAGUAAUUCCUAAACCUAAGCCCUCAAAAUGUCUAGGAUACUAGGAAAUUAAACAGAGUUUCCAAGGGUAGCAAACAGUUAUUCUUUCUCUAUAAUUAUCUUACAUUCCUUAGUUUUACUCUUAUCUGAAGAUUAUGUUGGACAAUAUACCUAUUGCUCAGGGAACUUAAAAAUUCUCUCUGUUGAUUUGGCUUCCUCAAAGUAGAAGUUCAUAAACAAUGGCAUGGCAGUACUCCUUGGUGACAUUUUCAGCCUGCAAA